ensembl:snRNA U6 U6 spliceosomal RNA
GUGCUCACCUCAGCAGCACAUGCUAAAAUUGGAAUGACACGGAGAAGAUCAUAUGGUCCCCGAGAAAGGAUGACACGCAAAUAUACAAAGUGGGUCUUGCUUUC